GUGUCAGCCGCCGCGGUAAUACCAGCUCUCCGAGUGGUGUGGAUGUUUAUUGGGCCUAAAGCAUCCGUAGCUGGCUAAGUUAGUCCCUUGUUAAAUCCACCGAAUUAAUCGUUGGAUUGCGGGGGAUACUGCUUGGCUAGGGGACGAGAGAGGCAGACGGUAUUUUCGGGGUAGGGGUGAAAUCCUAUAAUCCCGGGAAGACCACCAGUGGCGAAGGCUGUCUGCUAGAACGCGCCCGACGGUGAGGGAUGAAAGCUGGGGGAGCGAACCGGAUUAGAUACCCGGGUAGUCC
rnacentral:rRNA from 1 species